UACGUAGGGGGCAAGCGUUGUCCGGAUUUAUUGGGCGUAAAGAGCGUGUAGGCGGCCAGGUAGGUCUGCUGUGAAAACUCGAGGCUUAACCUCGAGCUGUCGGCGGAAACCAUCUGGCUAGAGUCCGGAAGAGGAGAAUGGAAUUCCCGGUGUAGCGGUGAAAUGCGCAGAUAUCGGGAAGAACACCCGUGGCGAAGGCGGUUCUCUGGGCCGGUAUUGACGCUGAGACGCGAAAGCGUGGGGAGCGAACAGG
rnacentral:rRNA from 1 species